GACGAACGCUGGCGGCGCGCCUAAUACAUGCAAGUCGAACGGCCAUCCUUCGGGAUGGCAGUGGCGGACGGGUGAGUAACACGUGGGUGACCUGCCCUGUAGUGGGGAAUAACUCUUGGAAACAGGAGCUAAUACCGCAUAUGCUCCAAGUUUCAUUAUUUGGAGUAAAGAUUAAUCGCUACAGGAGGGGCCUGCGGCGGAUUAGCUAGUCGGUGGGGUAAUGGCCUACCGAGGCAACGAUCCGUAGCUGGUCUGAGAGGACGACCAGCCACACUAGGACUGAGACACGGCCCAGACUCCUACGGGAGGCAGCAGUAAGGAAUAUUCCACAAUGGACGCAAGUCUGAUGGAGCGACGCCGCGUGAGCGAAGAAGCCC
rnacentral:rRNA from 1 species